GAUGAACGCUGGCGGCGUGCCUAAUACAUGCAAGUCGAGCGAACAGACGAGGAGCUUGCUCCUCUGACGUUAGCGGCGGACGGGUGAGUAACACGUGGAUAACCUACCUAUAAGACUGGGAUAACUUCGGGAAACCGGAGCUAAUACCGGAUAAUAUAUUGAACCGCAUGGUUCAAUAGUGAAAGACGGUUUUGCUGUCACUUAUAGAUGGAUCCGCGCCGCAUUAGCUAGUUGGUAAGGUAACGGCUUACCAAGGCAACGAUGCGUAGCCGACCUGAGAGGGUGAUCGGCCACACUGGAACUGAGACACGGUCCAAACCCCUACGGGAGGCAGCAGGAGGGAAUCUUCCGGAAUGGGCGAAAGCCUGACGGGGAAACGCCGCGGGGGUGAUGAAGGUUUUCGGAUCGUAAAACUCUUUUAUUAGGGAAGAAAAAAUGUGUAAGUAAAUAUGCACGUUUUGACGGUACCUAAGCAAAAAGCCACGGCUAACUACGU
rnacentral:rRNA from 1 species